UACAGGGGGGGGCAAGCGUUGUUCGGAAUUACUGGGCGUAAAGGGCUCGUAGGCGGCCGGCUAAGUCCGACGUGAAAUCCCCCAGGCUUAACCUGGGAACUGCGUCCGAUACUGGCAGGCUUGAAUCCGGGAGAGGGAUGUGGAAUUCCAGGUGUAGCGGUGAAAUGCGUAGAUAUCUGGAGGAACACCGGGUGGCGAAGGCGGAUCUCUGGGCCAUUACUGACGCUGAGGAGCGAAAGCGUGGGGAGCGAACGAGG
rnacentral:rRNA from 1 species